GUGCUCGCUUUGGCAGCACAUAUACUAAAAUUGGAAUAGUACAGAGGGGAUUAGCAUGGCCCUUGUGCACAUAUGACAUGAAAAUUCAUGAAGUGUUCCAUAUUUAA
ensembl:snRNA U6 U6 spliceosomal RNA